CCAAGUGAUUGUUUCCAUAUUCGGGGAAACCUAGGUUGAGAAAAANGAACAUAGUAGGUAAUCCUGAGCCAAAUUUUGUUUACUUUACAAAAAUAGGUGCAGAGACUCAAAGGGAACUAUCCAAACAAAAAUUAUUUAUUAAUUAUUAGUUACUUUUAGAAUAAAUUUUAUUAUAUUCAAAUAAUACGAGAUAGGGAUGAAGAUAGAGUCCAUUUUUACACGCUAUAUCUAGCAACGAUGCAAAUCAUUGUAAAAAGAAAAUCCGUUGGCUUUUUAGACCGUGAGGGUUCAAGUCCCUCUACCCCCA
rnacentral:tRNA from 1 species